CCCACUUGUAGCUCUUCAUAUCGAGGGAGUAAGACUCUGGGAGUUUCUGUCAGGACAUGGAUAUUUUCAGUAAACACAGCCUCCUCAGACUGUCUCUAGUCUCUUUGCUGUUGAACACAGGAAUUACUGAUGGCAGUGAUGUCACCCAGACACCCAUACUGUGGAAAGACAAAGGCGACAGUGCAACAAUACAAUGCAACCACACCAAGGGUGUUGGCUACAACCAGAUGUACUGGUACAGACAGCUGCCUGGAGAAACUAUGAAACUAAUUGUGUUCACCAGAACAGGCAACAGCAAUCACGACUUUGGAGAUUUCAGCAAAGACAAAUUUUCAGCCACUAAGCCCAAUGAUGAGACCGGGACAUUCACAGUGAAGAAUCUGGUGCCAGAGGAUAAAGGCUUGUAUUUCUGUGCUGUGAGUGAACACAGUGACACAGACACAUGUGAAAGCUGA